GAUAAGAACUUUUGAUCGAACCUUAUGUUGUUCACUCACAUCAGUAUUGUUUAAUUGGUUGAGAGUAAAACAUUUACAAAAAUGAAAUUAUUCAUAAUUUUAUUUGUGUUUGGAUUAUUUCAAUUGAUAUACUGUGAACAAAAAAACAAAGAUUACUAUGAUUUGAAUGACAGCACAGAACAUGUCUAUGUGGUGCAGCUAAUAUUAAAAAAGUUGGGUGAUUUGUCCAAAGUUACGUCCAAAAUUGAUGCCAAAAUGGAAGAUAUAAAUAAAAGGUACCUUGAGGUGGAGAACAAGUUUAGCGAAGUGGAUAACAAAUUCAAUCUGAUUUCGCAGCAAUUUGACAAUUUUAAAACAGUAGUUUUAGAACAAAUCAGAAAAAUGAACAACGCUUUGAAGUAUCGGGCAAAAUAUUUGCAGCAUUGAAUGAAAGAGUCAACGAAAUCAACGGGUUGCUUGCAAAAUCUGACAGCAACAUUCUAACUUUUUAAAAAUGAGACUUCGAAUAUUUUGAAUAACCAAACAAAAGCUUUGGAAAAAAUGGAAU